CUAGGAAUCUUGCGCAAUGGACGAAAGUCUGACGCAGCGACACCGCGUGAGGGAUGAAGGUCUUUGGAUCGUAAACCUCUUUUGACUGGGAAGCACUCGCAAGAGUGGACGGUACCAGUAGAAUAAGCACCUGCUAACCAUGUGCCAGCAGCCGCGGUAAUACAUGGGGUGCAAGCGUUAUCCGGAUUUACUGGGCGUAAAGAGUUCGUAGGCGUUUUGCCAAGUUUCGUUUGAAAGACCGAGGCUCAACUUCGGGACCGGACGAAAAACUGGCAGAAUCGAGUUUGCUAGGGGGUACUGGAAUUCAUAGUGUAGCAGUGAAAUGCGUUGAUAUUAUGAAGAACACCAAGGGCGAAGGCAGGUACCUGGGGCAACACUGACGCUGAGGAACGAAAGCUAG
rnacentral:rRNA from 1 species